GCAAGGCUAAAACUCAAAUGAAUUGACGGGGGCCCGCACAAGCGGUGGAGCAUGUGGCUUAAUUUGAUGCAACGCGAAGAACCUUACCUACCCUUGACAUCCAGAGAAUCUGUUAGAGAUAGUAGAGUGCCUUCGGGAACUCUGAGACAGGUGCUGCAUGGCUGUCGUCAGCUCGUGUUGUGAAAUGUUGGGUUAAGUCCCGUAACGAGCGCAACCCUUAUCCUUAGUUGCCAGCACAUAAUGGUGGGAACUCUAGGGAGGCUGCCGGUGAUAAACCGGAGGAAGGUGGGGACGACGUCAAGUCAUCAUGGCCCUUAUGGGUAGGGCUACACACGUGCUACAAUGGCCAGUACAGAGGGCUGCGAACUUGCGAAAGUAAGCGAAUCCCAGAAAGCUGGUCUUAGUCCGGAUUGGAGUCUGCAACUCGACUCCAUGAAGUUGGAAUCGCUAGUAAUCGCGAAUCAGAACGUCGCGGUGAAUACGUUCCCGGGCCUUGUACACACCGCCCGUCACACCAUGGGAGUGGGUUGCAAAAGAAGUGGGUAGACUAACCUUCGGGAGGUCGCUCACCACUUUGUGAUUCAUGACUGGGGUGAAGUCGUAACAAGGUA
rnacentral:rRNA from 1 species